rnacentral:tRNA from 1 species
GCCGACGUAGCUCAGGUGGUAGAGCGCGUCCUUGGUAAGGACGAGGUCACCGGUUCAAUCCCGGUCGUCGGCUCCA